CUUCGGCGGGCGGCCCGGGUCCGCCCGGUGCCCCCUGGCCCCCUAGCGGGGCGCCCGCCGGAGGAAAACCCAACUCUUGAUUAUUAUGGCCUCUCUGAGUCUUCUGUACUGAAUAAGUCAAAACUUUCAACAACGGAUCUCUUGGUUCUGGCAUCGAUGAAGAACGCAGCGAAAUGCGAUAAGUAAUGUGAAUUGCAGAAUUCAGUGAAUCAUCGAAUCUUUGAACGCACAUUGCGCCCGCCAGUAUUCUGGCGGGCAUGCCUGUUCGAGCGUCAUUUCAACCAUCAAGCCCCGCGCUUGUGUUGGGGACCUGCGGCUGCCGCAGGCCCUGAAAACCAGUGGCGGGCUCGCUGUCACACCGGGCGUAGUAGAUUUUAUCUCGCUCAGGGCGUGCUGCGGGUUCCGGCCGUUAAAAAGCCUUUUUUACCCAAGGUUGACCUCGGAUCAGGUAGGAAUACCCGCUGAACUUAAGCAUAUCAAUA
rnacentral:rRNA from 1 species